CUGUAUGUUGCGUAACGAGAAACAAGGAUCAAAGUUUCGCUCCUUUGGCCACUGCCACUAAAGUCGACAAGACAAAUUCGCUAGCGCCAGUGCCACUUAGGUGAAACGAAAUUUUAUGCCAGAAUUAUUUUGGAACUCAA